GGGACGAUUACAAGAAAUAUUCGAGCUUGUGCCGGGGUGUUCAGAAGCUAGUCAACAUGUUGAAGAAAAUGAACGAGAAAGACCCUUUUCGAUUGGAAUUGACUGAGAAGCUCCUCGAAAAGCUGUACAAUAUGGGUGUGAUACCAACCCGACAGAGCUUGAAUUUAUGUGAUCGCCUGUCAGUGUCAUCCUUCUGCAGACGGAGGCUAUCAACGGUGUUGGUACGUUUGAAGUUUGCCGAGCACUUGAGGGAAGCUGUUAC
rnacentral:misc_RNA from 1 species